rnacentral:rRNA from 1 species
GAUGAACGCUGGCGGCGUGCCUAAUACAUGCAAGUCGAGCGAACAGACGAGGAGCUUGCUCCUCUGACGUUAGCGGCGGACGGGUGAGUAACACGUGGAUAACCUACCUAUAAGACUGGGAUAACUUCGGGAAACCGGAGCUAAUACCGGAUAAUAUAUUGAACCGCAUGGUUCAAUAGUGAAAGACGGUUUUGCUGUCACUUAUAGAUGGAUCCGCGCCGCAUUAGCUAGUUGGUAAGGUAACGGCUUACCAAGGCGACGAUGCGUAGCCGACCUGAGAGGGUGAUCGGCCACACGGGAACUGAGACACGGUACAGACUCCUACGGGAGGCAGCAGUAGGGAAUCUUCCGCAAUGGGCGAAAGCCUGACGGAGCAACGCCGCGUGAGGGAUGAAGGUCUUCGGAUCGUAAAACUCUGUUAUUAGGGAAGAACAAAUGUGUAAGUAACUAUGCACGUCUUGACGGUACCUAAUCAGAAAGCCACGGCUAACUACGUG